rnacentral:rRNA from 1 species
GGAGUUUGGACCGUGUCUCAGUUCCAAUGUGGGGGACCUUCCUCUCAGAACCCCUACCGAUCGAAGGCUUGGUGGGCCGUUACCCCGCCAACUACCUAAUCGGACGCAUCCCCAUCCAUGGCCGAUGAAAUCUUUAGUCCUCAUUAGAUGUCUGCAAAGGACCCCAUAGGGCAUUAAUCCGCUUUUCAGCGGGCUAUUCCCUACCCAGGGGCAGGUUGGAUACGUGUUACUCACCCGUGCGCCGGUCGCCAUCAAAGGAAGCAAGCUUCCUUCAUGCUGCCCCUCGACUUGCAUGUGUUAAGCCUGUAGCUAGCGUUCAUC